rnacentral:rRNA from 1 species
GUCGAAGGAUCGUUAUUACGUACGUGGCAGGGUGUGACGUUGGAGUAGUAAGUAGGUUCCUCCGUCUAGAUCCUUUCGGAAACGACCGAGGAGCGAGACGAGUCUUUGCUCGACCCCUUGGAGUUCGAGUGGUAGUAACGAGGACGAGGUGGUUUCCGGUGGAGGUGGUUGGUACCGCGAACUCAUCCGGCAUGUAGGGAGCGAACGAGCAGAGCAGAGUCGUUCGUACGGCCGUCGCUCGUGCCGUUCCCGCUUUAAACCUCCGUCAGCGACUUCUCGGAUGGCCACGACGGCUGCACGAUCGAAGAACCCCUAGAAAGGUUUCUCGAGGAACCACAACCUCGACUGCCGUUCCAACAGAAUGAGCCGAUACGACGAACAUAAUUCAAAAGAAAUAUUUUCUAGGUAUGUAAUUAACUGUCGCUUGUAGUAGAGACGGUACCUGCACCACUGACCACGGUACCUUUCGGAUGAAGGGUUCGACCCACUCGACGAGCAACCCCUCAUGGCGGAUGUCUUCCCGCACUUCUUUCUACAGCUCAGGGAACUCUCUCUCUACUUCUCGUACGUGCGACGAGAAUGUUUCCACCGGUUCCACGGUUCCCUGGUCGAGCUGGUCGUUCAGUUCUAGACCCGUCUACUUUAGUCCCUCGACAGCAUGCUGCGUCUCCUACAGCAACUGUUCAAGGACCACAGAUAGCUCCCUAGAUUAGGAUGUCAGUUGAGCUCGUUCGAGUUUCCCGAUUACCUCUUCUAGUGGUCGAACAAGUGGUUUCCGUUCUGAGCGGUAGACUAACGGUUACGUUAGUUCCUGUAGUUCCUGGCACGGGUUCUCCACCGACUGGACGCACUGUCUACGUUUCAGCUGCUACGACAACGGUUACGUCGAUCGUAUUUGUUAUGGUAACUAGGAGCAUAUAACCGAAAUAUGUUCCUAGUCUUUCUAGAGCAACCGUAACUUCUGCGUUCCCUGGUCGAUUGGCUCUCCGAAUGUGUACUACUUCCUCUAUGCAGUUUAGUCGGCGAGGUCUAUCAGAGAUAACAACCUGGGCCUCCUGAGCCAUUCUGUUGAGAACGGUUCCGUCACAUACUAUCAGAAGUUUGUGUUAAAUUAACGUUCCGAAAACAAGGCCACCCAGCUUUGGGAUUACACUCGUUUCAAGAGUUCCUGUAUGAGGACCUUGACCUUGACCCAUUGAGAUACUCACUAUAUCGGUGUAAUCUACUUUCUGUUCAGUAGUUGUUUGAGGCUCUAGAUGAAGUUCUAUUCUCCAUGAAAUAAUAAUAGCUACUGUAUACCCUAAAUUUUCGUACCCCUUAUUAGUUUACACGAAACAACCUAUUGUUAGCACCUUCAGCUCAUUAGUGUUGAUGAGCGUAAGAACUUCAACGACGUUUAUGGCCGUUACAGAUGUUCGAUCUUGGCGAAAGAGGACUAAACAGACUUCUUGAUAAGAUAUGUUCUAAUAAACCACCAUUUCUGUUUACAGGAAUGGCUUUUUCCCAAAGGGAGGCGAAAUAUAAUAUUUCGUGGUCUGUGUGCUAGUGUCCCAUUGACGGCCCCGCUUACCGUGUUGUUCGGGUUUUCCCUUUUUCUUCUUUAUUUUCGGUUGUUGCCGUCGAGCCGUUCGUGUUUACUAGGCGGUGGCGACGCGGGAGGUGGAAGCAGGGUGGUGUGCGGUACCGUGGCCGGGCGGCGUAUGGUUCGUCGUGGAGGUUCUUCCUUACGCUGCGGUUGCUGCGACGACGGGCCUGCUCAGGAUCCCAAAGGGGGCCGUAUGCCUCCCCUCGCCCACUACCCAUCGCGGCUGCGGGAAGUUCUUCCUUACUACCGUGGGAGUCCACAGUGGCGCAGCCUCGGCCUUCUUGGCCGUUUCUAAAGAGGGUGUAGGGGUUCGUGGCGAUGGGUGAGCUUGGCCCCGGUAGGUUGGUAGUUCGGUGGGCGUUCGUGCGCGGUGGUGCCAGGACCUGUGUAGGUGCGGCGGGGCGACGCUUGUGGUGGUGCUCCGGUUCCUCCGGCUUUUCUUCGCGGUUCGCUGCCCUCCUUGGUGUUUACAGGAAUACCAGUUGGAAGACUCCAUAGAUUGUUUUAAGAUGUUUUUACACCACCACACGGCGACCGAUAGUAACGUUAUCGAUCAAACAACGUAGUAUUUGGUUACCUCCUAACCAGAUUCCAUAUGUGGAGAUAAUCAAGACGUAAACCUCUAUUAUGUCUAUAGCUAUUGUACUCUUCCUAUAAUAACAAAUCGAUACUCCUAGAUGGAAUAGUAGAUUCCGGAACAGACAACGUAGACUCGUAUAUAGGUCUUCUAUGAAACUAGUACUUUCUUUGUAAUUAUACCUACACCCAUCGGCUUCCGAAACAGUCACUCCUCGGUCCGAAACCAAAGAAACUCUAACCUCUCUCUAUGAAAUUACUAGAGCAUUUAUCUUCGUACCAAGACGGACAUCUCGUGUUUCUUCCCUGCCCGUGCAAAGGAGCUCCCUUUUUUUUUCCCGUAUAUACGAACAACACAAGUACUAUACCACGAACUAUAUUAAACAAACAAUAGUUUCCUUGUUUUAAAAUAGUGGUAUGAUCUAUCAUUACCCUUGAUGAGUAGAAGUUUUCCGUUACGAGUAUCCAAUCGUUAGGUUUGUUCUCCACUUCUCGUCAUGUUGGUAAAGCCGUUGUGCUCGUACGGUUUUAACUCCAGUACAAUACGGUUGUUCACAGGAUCUUCAUACUACGGUGGUGAAAGUACGAAACUUCACAAUGCACAAGAUCUAAACUUUUUGACGUAUAGAUAUCUUUUAACACUAGAACUCGUAUAACCUUCCAAUGUAGUCAACUCUAUGAACUCAGACCUCUCGUGUUUAUAAUCACUCGAGGGUUUUCUAUAUCCUCUAGAUUUCAAAGACGUCUGUGAUCUGAACUCCUUCACGUUCUAUUUUCUUAACGGUGUCUCAUGAUCAAACGAUUCCUUUGAAUUCGCGGACUCGCAACUGCUCUGGUGAUUCACCUGUACACAAGCAUAUUGUCACGGCUUAACCUAUCCCUUGGACUGUAGGGACCUCCUCAAUAGUAACUUUUAAUCACCACUUAAGAGAUGGGACCAACUUCUUGAGCCAUUCGACUGUCUCGACUCCCACGACCUGACAGUAAAUUCCCCUGGAGACUUACUAACAAGGUUCUUUUGAAACCACCUAAGACAUACGUUUGAACUCUUUUAGGUUUAGAAUGCUGAAUUCCCGGACACACCCACCAGCUUUAGGCUCCGUCUAUUGACCCUUCCCAUGUUCGGGGGAGCCGUUGAGGCACUCAACAUGUAUAGCUAGCUCAAGUUAUCUGAUGGCCGUACCUAAUUAAGGAGCGACGAAGGUUUGGAGAGGUUUGAUUUUUACAUACACAUAAGAUACUUACUCCCCCUACACCAGUUGGAACCCUCCAACGGUCUCGAAGAAUUUAACUUCAUGUAGUCCUAUGGCCUCCCGUGCCUCAAGGGACUACCACGCAAGGGGUUCAACUCCUCGACGCUCUAUCUACGUGGAAAGAUCAAAGACGGCCCUUCAUACGUGUUGGAACUUAGGUAAUGCAAGCCGUGUGUCCCCGCGAACUCCCUACGGCAGUAACUGAAAUUGAAAUAACCAUGGGACCCCUUGGAGGGAAGCGAAGCGCUCCAACAGCGUGUAUACCUAACGCCACUACGGGCACAUGGGCUACACCUCUUCUACCUCCGUCGCCACUCCGUUUGUUAACUGUGGGUAGGCUUGGCAGGGUGUGAGGCAGAGCUUUCCGCACCAGUUAUAUACUACUACUUUCUUUGUCACUCGGUUCCUCCAGUUGGGCUUAUACGUCUUUAUCUCCAUUAGCAGCUUCUGCUCCUGCUGCUACUUCACUGGAGGGCUGUCUGUCUUGGUCUCAAGUUGAUGCUGAAACUGUUGGCGCAGCCUCUUCUCGGCCUCUCAGGACUCGUCUCCUUGGUUCUAGUCACGGUACUGCGGCUUUGUAGCCUAACGUCCUUCCGUCUGGUUGUCGAGCUACCGCUUGCGUUUUCAUUUGCUGUAGCUAAAGUCGUCGUCUCUUCACGAGACAGGCCGCUAUUAAGAACACGGAUCACACCACGAAGACUUCUAUUCGAGUCCGUCUCCUACUCUGACGGGUCGGAACUUACUAACGCAACUACACUAAUCACUAGUCAACUCGACGUGAUGAAGACACCUUGAAGAAUUUGACAAACAACGAUGACAAACCGAACAUUAUCCUAUCAGGCUAUCACACUAGGCGGUUGCCGGUCGGAUACUAGCUACUUCUAGUCCGUAUCUGUCGCCCAAAUUAAAGGACCACCCAAACUUAAGAGGAAAAGUAAAUGUGUACAAUUCUGAAACAACAAAGAAACAAACUCCUUACCUGAACUAACAAAGACGAUACGAAUACGGUUCAUGACGUUUUACCCGAUGCGGGUAAACUCUUUUCCUUUAACCACAAGGA